rnacentral:rRNA from 1 species
CGUAGGGUGCGAGCGUUGUCCGGAAUUAUUGGGCGUUAAAGGGCUCGUAGGCGGUUUGUCGCGUCGGGAGUGAAAACCUUGGGCUUAACUCAGGGCUUGCUUUCGAUACGGGCAGACUAGAGGUAUGCAGGGGAGAACGGAAUUCCUGGUGUAGCGGUGAAAUGCGCAGAUAUCAGGAGGAACACCGGUGGCGAAGGCGGUUCUCUGGGCAUGAUCUGACGCUGAGGAGCGAAAGUGUGGGGAGCGAACAGGAUUAGAUACCCUGGUAGUCCACACCGUAAACGUUGGGCGCUAGGUGUGGGGUCCAUUCCACGGGUUCCGUGCCGCAGCUAACGCAUUAAGCGCCCCGCCUGGGGAGUACGGCCGCAAGGCUA